UACGUAGGGGGCGAGCGUUGUCCGGAGUUACUGGGCGUAAAGGGCACGCAGGCGGUCACCCACGUUUUCCAUGACAGCUCGUGGCUUAACGACGAGAGGGUGGGAAAAACGAGGCGACUUGAGGCAUCCAGAGGGACACAGAAUUCCGGGUGCAGUGGUGAAAUGCGUAGAUAUCCGGAGGAAUACCAAAGGCGAAGGCAGUGUCCUGGGG
rnacentral:rRNA from 1 species